AGGGCACCACCAGGAGUGGAGCCUGCGGCUUAAUUUGACUCAACACGGGAAAACUCACCCGGCCCGGACACUGGAAGGAUUGACAGAUUGAGAGCUCUUUCUUGAUUCAGUGGGUGGUGGUGCAUGGCCGUUCUUAGUUGGUGGAGUGAUUUGUCUGGUUAAUUCCGAUAACGAACGAGACUCUAGCCUAUUAAAUAGAUCGUUGGCUUACAAACGCCGGCGAGACUUCUUAGAGGGACAGGCGGCGAUUCAGCCGCACGAAACAGAGCAAUAACAGGUCUGUGAUGCCCUUAGAUGUCCGGGGCCGCACGCGCGCUACACUGAAGUGAUCAGCGUGCAUUUUGAAACCUACUCUGUCAAGAGUGGGGAACCCGAUGAACCUUCUUCGUGAUUGGGAUAGGGGAUUGUAAUUAUUCCCCUUGAACGAGGAAUUCCCAGUAAGCGCGAAUCAUAAGUUUGCGCUGAUUACGUCCCUGCCCCUUGUACACACCGCCCGUCGCUACUACCGAUUGAAUGUUU
rnacentral:rRNA from 1 species